rnacentral:lncRNA from 13 species
CUCCUGCGGCUUCCCCACCGCGGUCCCCUCCCCCCAUUCAUUACAGCAUCGCUCUGGGCGCCAAGACGGAUUCAAGCCAGGGACUGCUGCAGUCAGCUCUCCGCCUCUCGGUUCCCGCAGCCUGUGUCUAGGCUCCGCAGCCUCCAGCUGUGCUUAGGACAGUCCCUUUUCCCCCCACCCCGCCCCCGCCAUGGCACAAUCCCAGGCUCAGGGCCCAGAGGCAGGCGGGCACAGUGGGCGCGGGCGGGGGCCCAGCACAGGAGGCAGGUACAGCGGGGCUGUCCCUCCACACUGGGGAUGCCUCGGCUGUGCGGACUGUGGGUGGGAGACGCCUGCCAGCGGCUCGGAGGACGGGCACAGUGCCCCAUCCUGGCAGGGGCUGGGGCAGAAGAGGGGGGCUCCCUGACCCGAGGCCAGGAGCUGAGGUCCGGCGGCUGACCGACCGGGAAAGCCCUAAGGAGAGUCUCCCAAGCAGACGGGCCUGGGGGGCUGUGUGUGACAUUCAGGGCGAGACUGCGCCUCCGCCGGGUGCGAGACCCCCUCUGUGCGGCUGAGCCGGUCCCCGGCCGCCCGCCCGCCCACCCGACUCCGCGCUUGGGUCCCCUGUGCCCAGGUCGGCUGUGCGUGGCGGUGACACUUUAGGUGCCUGUUCCUGGGUCCCCGGGGAGGGGGGAUCUCACUGGUGCCCCCAGGCUGGGCGCCCCCAGCGCCGUCGUUCCGCCAGGUGGGCGCUCCUCUGGGACCCCGGCAGCCGCUCGCGGGUGGCGACCUCGGCCCUCCUGGGUCCGCGCGGGGGCGGGGAGCUCAGUCCCCCUCCCUCUUCCUCUCCCUCUCGCUGCUCGGCCGCCCUGCGCGGGGGCGGGGGCGGGGGCGGGGGCGGAGCGCGCGGGCGGGAUCCCCCCGCCUCCCCUUCCCGGUCCCCGGGAAAUCCAGCCUCCGUGGCUUGGCCGCCUCCCGCUCCCGCGCCCGCUGCCGCUCGGCGCUCGCUCGGGGCUCCGCAGCCGGCGCGGCCCCUCCGCUGGGGGCUCCGCAGUGCCGGGCCCUGGUCCCUGCCCGCCCGCUCGCCCGCCCAACGCCGCAGCGCCCUCGGCCCGGGCCGCCGGCACCAUGUAACCCGGCCGGAGCCCGAGCCGGGCCAGGAGCCAGUGGUCCUGAGCCUUCUGAAGUUAGGAUUCUGCCUGGUGGUGGGGAUCCUGACAUCAAGGAUGGGACACCCCGGAUGGAGGUUCCUGGGGCCUGGCCCCCAAGACUAUGAAGAGCCUUUGCUGAGGCCAUGAGGGGUUACCAUGGCGACCGAGGCAGCCAUCCCCGCCCAGCCCGCUUUGCUGACCAGCAGCAUAUGGACGUGGGCCCAGCUGCCAGGGCCCCAUACCUGUUGGGCUCCAGGGAGGCCUUCUCCACUGAGCCCCGCUUCUGUGCCCCGAGAGCUGGCCUGGGACACAUUUCUCCUGAAGGGCCCCUGAGCCUGAGUGAAGGGCCAUCGGUAGGCCCUGAGGGAGGGUCAGGGGGGGCCGGGGUUGGGGGGGGUAGCAGCACCUUCCCCAGGAUGUACCCUGGCCAAGGCCCCUUCGACACCUGUGAAGACUGUGUGGGCCACCCCCAGGGCAAGGGUGCCCCCCGCCUGCCUCCCACACUCCUGGAUCAGUUUGAAAAGCAGUUGCCAGUUCAACAAGAUGGCUUCCACACGCUACCAUACCAGCGAGGGCCAGCAGGGCCAGGGCCCGGGCCAGCACCAGGGACUGGCACUGCCCCAGAGCCCCGCAGUGAGAGCCCUAGCCGCAUCCGGCACCUGGUUCACUCUGUGCAGAAGCUCUUUGCCAAGUCUCACUCUCUGGAGGCGCCGGGGAAGCGGGACUAUAACGGGCCCAAAGCUGAGGGAAGAGGUGGCUCUGGAGGAGACAGCUACCCCGGCCUGGGUUCUGGAGGCCCCCAUACCUCCCACCACCACCAUCACCACCACCAUCAUCAUCACCAUCAGUCCCGGCAUGGCAAGAGGAGCAAGAGCAAGGACCGCAAGGGGGAUGGGCGGCACCAGGCCAAGUCCACAGGCUGGUGGAGUUCCGAUGACAACUUGGACAGUGACAGCGGCUUCCUGGCGGGUGGGAGGCCUCCUGGGGAGCCUGGUGGUCCCUUCUGCCUGGAGGCUCCAGAUGGGUCCUACCGGGACUUGAGCUUCAAGGGGCGCUCGGGCGGGUCAGAAGGCCGCUGCCUUGCCUGCACUGGCAUGUCCAUGUCACUGGAUGGACAGUCGGUCAAGCGAAGUGCCUGGCAUACCAUGAUGGUCAGCCAGGGACGGGAUGGAUACCCGGGGGCCGGGCCAGGCAAGGGGCUCCUGGGUCCGGAGACCAAGGCCAAAGCCAGGACUUAUCACUAUCUGCAGGUGCCGCAAGAUGACUGGGGGGGUUACCCCACUGGUGGCAAGGAUGGGGAGAUCCCCUGCCGCAGGAUGCGGAGCGGCAGCUACAUCAAAGCCAUGGGGGAUGAGGAGAGCGGAGACUCCGACGGCAGCCCCAAGACAUCUCCCAAAGCAGUCGCCCGACGCUUCACCACCCGUCGCUCCUCCAGCGUGGACCAGGCCAGGAUCAACUGCUGUGUCCCACCCCGGAUCCACCCCCGGAGCUCCAUCCCCGGCUACAGCCGUUCCCUCACCACCGGACAGCUCAGCGAUGAGUUGAACCAGCAGCUGGAGGCCGUGUGCGGGUCCGUGUUUGGGGAGCUGGAGUCCCAGGCCGUGGACGCCCUGGACCUGCCCGGCUGUUUCCGCAUGCGGAGCCACAGCUACCUCCGGGCCAUCCAGGCCGGCUGCUCUCAAGACGACGACUGCCUGCCCCUCCUCGCUGCCCCUGCUGCUGUCUCAGGGAGGCCCGGCUCCUCCUUCAACUUCAGAAAGGCCCCGCCCCCCAUCCCGCCGGGAAGCCAGGCCCCGCCCCGCAUCUCCAUCACCGCCCAGAGCAGCACCGACUCCGCGCAAGAGAGCUUCACGGCGGCCGAGGGCCCUGCCCGGCGCUGCAGCUCCGCCGACGGCCUGGACGGCCCCGCCAUGGGCGCGCGCACCCUGGAGUUGGCGCCGGUGCCGCCCCGGGCCAGCCCCAAGCCCCCCACACUCAUCAUCAAGACCAUCCCUGGCAGGGAGGAGCUGCGGAGCCUGGCGCGGCAGCGGAAGUGGCGGCCGUCCAUUGGGGUGCAGGUGGAGACGAUCUCAGACUCAGACACCGAGAACAGGAGCCGGAGGGAGUUCCACUCCAUCGGCGUGCAGGUGGAAGAGGACAAGAGGCGAGCAAGGUUCAAGCGCUCCAACAGUGUGACGGCCGGCGUGCAGGCAGACCUGGAGCUGGAGGGCCUGGCUGGCCUGGCCACGGUGGCCACAGAAGACAAGGCCCUGCAGUUUGGACGCUCCUUCCAGAGGCAUGCCUCUGAGCCCCAGCCUGGGCCCCGGGCCCCCACCUACUCAGUCUUCCGCACAGUCCACACGCAGGGCCAGUGGGCCUAUCGUGAGGGCUACCCACUGCCGUAUGAGCCGCCGGCCACCGAUGGGUCACCCGGCCCUGCCCCCGCCCCCACCCCUGGCCCCGGGGCCGGCCGCCGUGACUCCUGGAUAGAACGUGGUUCCCGUAGCCUCCCUGACUCAGGCCGUGCGUCCCCCUGCCCACGGGACGGCGAGUGGUUCAUCAAGAUGCUGCGGGCAGAGGUGGAGAAGCUGGAGCACUGGUGCCAGCAGAUGGAGCGUGAGGCGGAGGACUAUGAGCUACCCGAGGAGAUCCUGGAGAAGAUCCGCAGCGCUGUGGGCAGCACACAACUUCUCCUGUCCCAGAAGGUUCAGCAGUUCUUCCGGCUCUGUCAGCAAAGCAUGGAUCCCACUGCGUUCCCUGUGCCCACCUUCCAGGACUUGGCGGGUUUCUGGGACCUCCUACAGCUCUCCAUCGAGGAUGUGACCCUCAAGUUCCUGGAGCUACAGCAACUCAAGGCCAACAGCUGGAAGCUCCUGGAGCCUAAGGAGGAGAAGAAGGUCCCUCCGCCGAUACCAAAGAAGCCCCUGCGGGGCCGGGGCGUGCCGGUGAAGGAGCGCUCCCUGGACUCCGUGGACAGGCAGCGGCAGGAAGCGCGCAAGCGGCUCCUGGCGGCCAAGCGCGCUGCUUCCUUCCGCCACAGCUCGGCCACCGAGAGUGCCGACAGCAUCGAGAUCUACAUCCCCGAGGCCCAGACCAGGCUGUGA